AAAUGAAUUGACGGGGGCCCGCACAAGCGGAGGAGCAUGUGGCUUAAUUCGAUGCAACGCGAAGAACCUUACCAGGGCUUGACAUGCAGCUGCUAACCCCGUGAAAGCGGGGCUCCUUCGAGGGUGCUGCACAGGUGCUGCAUGGCUGUCGUCAGUUCGUGCCGUGAGGUGUUGGGUUAAGUCCCGCAACGAACGCAACCCUUGUGUCUAGUUGCCCCCGCAGGUGAUGAGCCUGCGAGCACUCUAGACAGACUGCCCGUGAUAAGCGGGAGGAAGGUGGGGAUGACGUCAAGUCAGUAUGGCCUUUAUGCCCUGGGCUGCACACGUGCUACAAUGGACGGUACAGAAGGAUGCAAGACCGCGAGGUGGAGCAAAUCCUGAAAACCGUCCCCAGUUCAGAUUGAAGGCUGAAACUCGCCUUCAUGAAGCCGGAUUCGCUAGUAAUGGCGCAUCAGCUACGGCGCCGUGAAUACGUUCCCGGGCCUUGUACACACCGCCCGU
rnacentral:rRNA from 1 species